CCGCGGGGCAGCAAGGCCCCUCCGCGGGCGCGUGGCCCCGGGGCUCGGGCCUGGCUCUUCUCAAAGACGCCCCCGGCCGUGUCUGGCGUGAGCGGAGCGGCUCGCGGCGRGCGUUGCGCCGCAGAGAGACAGGAAAACUAAGAAGUCUUGGAAAUGGCCAUGGAGCUCAUAUUUAACUUGCAAAAAGCCGUGUGCAGCCUUCCUGAGACAUUUCUUGGCUUGAAAACGGUGCCACAGCUGCAGCUGCAUGAAUCCAUGGCAACRGGAGGGCCGAGCAGCCCCGCUUCCCCGACCCCACGCCAGCAGAGUGGAGAUGAGCGUGUCCUUCAGCCCCCCAGUGCCCAGCGGGUGCCACACGCCGCUGGCAGGAUGCUGCCACUUGAAAGCCCUGGUGCUGGAGCCAGGCUUGUACUGUGAACCGAGCCACAAGCAUGUCAUAUACACCCAACAUGAGAAGGUGAAUGAAAUGAAAGUUACAGCUGUAGUAAAGGUAUCAUGUGUAUAGGAGGGUUGAUAAGAUAAUGGGAGUUCUUUUAUGGCUUGUUUCCUGGCCUUGAUCACUUGAUAUGCAUCAAGAUUGCAAAAGAGUUAAUGGCCUCUGUGCCAUUGC
rnacentral:lncRNA from 1 species